rnacentral:rRNA from 1 species
ACGGGUGAGUAACACGUAGGUAACCUGCCUAUGAGACUGGGAUAACUAUCGGAAACGAUAGCUAAGACCGGAUAACUGGUUUUCUCGCAUGAGAGAAUCAUGAAACACGGAGCAAUCUGUGGCUUAUAGAUGGGCCUGCGGCGCAUUAGCUAGUUGGUAGGGUAAUGGCCUACCAAGGCGACGAUGCGUAGCCGACCUGAGAGGGUGAACGGCCACACUGGGACUGAGACACGGCCCAGACUCCUACGGGAGGCAGCAGUAGGGAAUCUUCCGCAAUGGACGCAAGUCUGACGGAGCAACGCCGCGUGAGUGAUGAAGGUUUUCGGAUCGUAAAGCUCUGUUGCCCUAGACGAACAGCAAGGAGAGUAACUGCUCUUUGUGUGACGGUAUAGGAGAAGAAAGCCCCGGCUAACUACGUGCCAGCAGCCGCGGUAAUACGUAGGGGGCAAGCGUUGUCCGGAAUUAUUGGGCGUAAAGCGCGCGCAGGCGGUUAAUUAAGUUGGGUGUUUAAGCCCGGGGCUCAACCCCGGCUCGCAUCCAAAACUGGUUGACUUGAGUGUAGGAGAGGAAAGUGGAAUUCCACGUGU